AGAGUUUGAUCCUGGCUCAGAGCGAACGCUGGCGGCAGGCUUAACACAUGCAAGUCGAGCGGGCGUAGCAAUACGUCAGCGGCAGACGGGUGAGUAACGCGUGGGAACGUACCUUUUGGUUCGGAACAACACAGGGAAACUUGUGCUAAUACCGGAUAAGCCCUUACGGGGAAAGAUUUAUCGCCGAAAGAUCGGCCCGCGUCUGAUUAGCUAGUUGGUGAGGUAACGGCUCACCAAGGCGACGAUCAGUAGCUGGUCUGAGAGGAUGAUCAGCCACAUUGGGACUGGGACACGGCCCAAACUCCUACGGGAGGCAGCAGUGGGGAAUAUUGGACAAUGGGCGCAAGCCUGAUCCAGCCAUGCCGCGUGAGUGAUGAGGGCCCUAGGGUUGUAAAGCUCUUUUGUGCGGGAAGAUAAUGACGGUACCGCAAGAAUAAGCCCCGGCUAACUUCGUGCCAGCAGCCGCGGUAAUACGAAGGGGGCUAGCGUUGCUCGGAAUCACUGGGCGUAAAGGGUGCGUAGGCGGGUCUUUAAGUCAGGGGUGAAAUCCUGGAGCUCAACUCCAGAACUGCCUUUGAUACUGAAGAUCUUGAGUUCGGGAGAGGUGAGUGGAACUGCGAGUGUAGAGGUGAAAUUCGUAGAUAUUCGCAAGAACACCAGUGGCGAAGGCGGCUCACUGGCCCGAUACUGACGCUGAGGCACGAAAGCGUGGGGAGCAA
rnacentral:rRNA from 1 species